UUUUAGAAAAAAAUUUAUCAGGCGUUCCAUUGUUUAAAAUCUGCCUAUUUUAGAACAUUUUUGAAGAUAUGUGAGUUUAGUUUUCUGAUCAUCCUCAGACAACAAGCUAAUUUUUGUUCUUCCGGCCUGCUAUUUUCCUAACUUGAACCAUGUAGAUUGAUUUCGAUUGUAGAAUACUUCAACAAUCACUAGGCAUGACCCUCAUUGUAAACACACCUACAUGAAAACAUUGCGGACGACGAAAACGGGCAGCAGUGCAAGCAACAUUUGCUCGAUGGAAUGGUGUAAUGGGUUAAAACGUCCAUUAAUAUUGAAAAUAUGAGGAGCUCUUCACGACUUGAUUUGACGAUUAUCCGAUUAACUUUGGACAGCACGUGUUUAAGUCAUUUUUCCACUUGUAUUUUACCGAAUGUCAGAGUAUCUGAUAAUUCUUUACAAUCCCGCUUUAUCCGGAUUUUAUUAGUGAAAAAGAAUAUACACAAGAAAAUCAUGAAAGCUCAGCCGUAACAACAUUAACAGUUUCAGUUUAUUCUACAAAAGAAAAUUUGCGUUGCAUGAUCUCAAUCUGUAGCUUUUUAUAUUUGAAAAUAAGUAUUUAAUAUUAAUUUGUCUUCUAGGUAGAAGAUUAUUAAUUUGGACGUAAAUUUUAUGUUCUAGUUUCGGCUAGGUAAACCACCCAGAUUAAACCAACACGCACCGCACGAACCCAAUAAACAAAUCGAAAUUAGUGAAUUUUGGUAAAGAUUCUUGGUACGCCAAGUUUCAACUUCCCAGAAACACUAGGACUUUCCUUGUGUUGUCUACAGUAAAAUGUGUCUCCUUUUUCCAAAGCAACUCAUAAAUAUGUAAGAAAAAUUGUACUUUUCGACGUCAGAAUUAAACUCGAACUCAUUUAAGGUCAGGAAUCCAGAGGGCACUAAUUGCCAAUCUAGCACGUAAAAUUUGGAUAAGAGAUCUCACAUCGUCUUCAAACGGAUUAAAUGUCGCAUACAAGCAUCAUAAAGCUGGCAAAGACAUGUUGCAUUGCAAUUGAGGCUUCUACGUUGGGUAAGAUUCUCGCAACAGUGCUGCUAACAAGAAGUGAAACUUUUUGACGCCUAAGUAAAGAUUUCCUAGCGUGAAAGGCAAAACCUGUCUUUUUAGUAAAUGGAGUGUGCACUGAAAGCAGAAAUGCUGCUUGAGAUAAAGUGUAAACAAAAAUGUUCAAUUUCAUGACCCUAAAACUAUUUUGGAGUUUGUUAGGACCUCUGCAAAGAAAAAUCUUCGUGGAAGGAACUUAAUCGCCAAAAACUGACGACAAGAAAGGAACACAUGAUCCGUUCAGAAGAAUAGCUAAAGAUAUCCAACCAAUAAAAUGAACUGCCUAAGAACAUACUAAGAACUGCCUAAGAACGUGACUGAUUGCUUUUCCCAAGUAUUCUACUGAUUGUACUUUUUUAAUGGUUUUACCAGAUGCAGGUUGCUCCUUGCAUGCAUUUUCUCCAAUGCAUUCGAUGCAUUACAUGCAUCGAAUUCAUUGGAGAUAAUGGAGCAGCUAAAGUACUGACUUGUGCACUUAUUUGUAUUUUUAUGGGUUUGCUUUUUAUCUAUUAAUCCAUGAGACAAGUUACUUUCCAGCCAUACAUGUAAAUAAAGUAUGCUAUUAAUGUGCUAUACAUUAUAAUCGUAAGAGCACUGCACUGUCCACCUAUUUUGCGUCCUUUCUAACCUUUUACAGACAUGCUUCAAAUAACACUUUAUCUUCAUCACUUUUUAGCUUAGUCAAACCUGCUUGCUCUAUCCUAGGGCAAGUGAGACGGCAAUGUCUAUCUAACGGUUUUUUAGUACAUUUUUUCAAAUUGCAGACAAUUUAAUAUGUACGCAAUAUUUCGAGUAACCGUUAUUGCAUUGCCAGAAGGCUGGCAAAAAUGUACCUACAAAGAACAGGAGAGAAGAAGACAGAAAGUCUGCCAAGCUAUGAACCAUUUGAUUGGUUGAAUAUAUGUAUAACUAUUGACACCAUUGGUUGAAUAUAUGUAUAACUAUUGACACCAUUGGUUGAAUAUAUGUAUAACUAUUGACACCACAUAGGUAGUUUUUGAGAAUGAAGUUUAACAAUUAAUCUAAUCAUAAAUAGAAUUAAUGAUGCAGUGAAACAACUCACAGUUUUCAAAAAUAAGCCCAACAACCUCAUUGAUUUUUAUAAACUGUUGGUCAGGUCCAAAUGUUUCUUUCUGGUUAUAUCACUUGGUAAAAAAUCCGUCAAUAGUCUAGCCUGUUUUCCUUAGCUUUUGUCCGAAAGAAAUGUAACAUGAAUGAAUAUGUAAAUGUAAGAAAUAAGAUGUGCUUUGUCUAGACGACAUUUUAACAAGAAAACUUGCUAAUUGAUUUUAUUAUCAAAUAAUUAUUAAUUUUUUUAGAAUCAGUAGGUUGUUUAAUUUCACAUUGCCUAUAUGUUUUAUCUGUUAUAUGUGUGCUUCCUCACUCUCAUAAGAUUUGCAUAAUUCAUCCCCGCAUUCGCAAAGUGAAACCAGAUGUUAGUUCGGAUUAAAAAAACACUCAUACGAUUUCCAAAUAUGGUAUUUCAAAAUUAAACCGCUAGACGAAAACAUCUGUAAAGAUGAAUACAUAGUAUAGAUGAACAUAAAUUCAAAAAACUGGAUCAAUCAAUUAGACCAAAUCAAGUUUGAAACUAUAAAAUUGCAUUGGUCUUUUUUGGCUUAACUGAUUUUCUCAUUUCAAAAUAUUCAGAUU